CAUAAUGAAGAAAGAUGAGUUGCAGGUCGUGAUAUUUGCAAUAUGGAGAAGAAUAAUCAAAUUGCACUUGUCCCGGCCUGCUGCAAAGUCUUCACCUCAA
rnacentral:pre_miRNA from 1 species